CUGAAGCUCGAGUACGUGACAGGCAGAAGUGCAGAAGCUGUCGCUAACAAACAGGAGCACCUGGGUUUGCCAAGAUAAAUGCCACAGGCAAGACAGCCUUUUUCCUACGUCAAGAUUUCAUCAGAGUAUCAUUAACUUCAUGGAAAUUGUUUUAAGGUACACAGCAUCCUGUCGGGGAUCAAGGGGAUUGCGACAUGCAGCACUAGUGACAUGGGCCUGAAACAGACUGUGACAUUGCUGUUGUCACUGUAGACGCUUGUGAGAGCUCAGAGGAUAAUGAUCCCCUCUCCUCUGUAUACUGGAGCAAUCAUUCCCG
rnacentral:lncRNA from 1 species